rnacentral:rRNA from 1 species
GUGGAGCCUGCGGCUUAAUUUGACUCAACACGGGAAACCUCACCAGGCCCGGACACCAGAAGGAUUGACAGAUUAAGAGCUCUUUCUCGAUUUGGUGGGUGGUGGUGCAUGGCCGUUCUUAGUUGGUGGAGUGAUUUGUCUGGUUAAUUCCGGUAACGAACGAGACUCUGGCCUACUAAAUAGUCGACGGGCGUUUUGGUGCAUGGGCCCCGUUCGACACAGUCUUCUUAGAGGGAUGAGCAGCGAGUAUAGCUGCAGGAGAUUGAGCAAUAACAGGUCUGUGAUGCCCUUAGAUGUCCUGGGCCGCACGCGCGCUACACUGAAUGGGUUAGCGGGUUGUCCUUCUCCGAGAGGAGCGGGAAAUCGCGUGAAAACCAUUCGUGAUAGGGAUUGGGGCUUGCAAUUGUUUCCCAUGAACGAGGAAUUCCCAGUAAGCGCAAGUCAUCAGCUUGCGUUGAUUAAGUCCCUGCCCUUUGUACACACCGCCCGUCGCUACUACCGAUUGAAUGAUUUAGUGAGGCCUUCGGACUGGCGGUCUUGGACUGGGGCGUUGGCUUUCUCCCAGCAAUGGGGUGCCGGCGACUCGCCUGGACGGGCCGGAAAGAUGUCCAAACUUGAUCAUUUAGAGGAAGUAAAAGUCGUAACAAGGUUUCC